GUGCAUUGUGGGAUAUUACGGUGUUCUUUAUUUCCAUAGAACAUCUGGACUCUAACCAUGCAAUAUAAUCCCAAGGAGUGAUCAGGGCUUCCAGCCUUUAAGCACAGGCUGAGUAGUAGUAUAUCCCUCCUACAUAC